AUGCACGCUGGCGGCGUGCCUAAUACAUGCAAGUCGCGCGAACAGACGAGGAGCUUGCUCCUCUGACGUUAGCGGCGGACGGGUGAGCAACACGUGGAUAACCUACCUAUAAGACUGGGAUAACUUCGGGAAACCGGAGCUAAUACCGGAUAAUAUAUUGAACCGCAUGGUUCAAUAGUGAAAGACGGUUUUGCUGUCACUUAUAGAUGGAUCCGCGCCGCAUUAGCUAGUUGGUAAGGUAACGGCUUACCAAGGCGACGAUGCGUAGCCGACCUGAGAGGGUGAUCGGCCACACUGGAACUGAGACACGGUCCAGACUCCUACGGGAGGCAGCAGUAGGGAAUCUUCCGCAAUGGGCGAAAGCCUGACGGAGCAACGCCGCGUGAGUGAUGAAGGUCUUCGGAUCGUAAAACUCUGUUAUUAGGGAAGAACAAAUGUGUAAGUAACUAUGCACGUCUUGACGGUACCUAAUCAGAAAGCCACGGCUAACUACGUG
rnacentral:rRNA from 1 species